rnacentral:rRNA from 1 species
AGCAGCCGCGGUAAUUCCAGCUCCAAUAGCGUAUAUUAAAGUUGUUGCAGUUAAAAAGCUCGUAGUUGAAUUUCGGGGUUAGUAGAUUGGUCAUGCCUCUGGUAUGCACUGGUCUUACUGAUUCCUCCUUCCUGAUGAACCGUAAUGCCAUUAAUUUGGUGUUGCGGGGAAACUGGACUGUUACUUUGAAAAAUUAGAGUGUUUAAAGCAGGCUAACGCUUGAAUACAUUAGCAUGGAAUAAUGAAAUAGGACGUUCGAUCUUAUUUUGUUGGUUUCUAGGAUUGACGUAAUGAUUAAUAGGGAUAGUUGGGGGCAUUAGUAUUCAAUUGUCAGAGGUGAAAUUCUUGGAUUUAUUGAAGACUAACUACUGCGAAAGCAUUUGCCAAGGAUGUUUUCAUUAAUCAAGAACGAAAGUUAGGGGAUCGAAGACGAUCAGAUACCGUCGUAGUCUUAACCAUAAACUAUGCCGACUAGGGAUCGGAUGAUGUUAAUUUUUUAAUGACUCAUUCGGCGCCUUAC